UACAGGGGGUGCAAACGUUGCUCGGAAUCAUUGGGCGUAAAGCGCACGUAGGCGGUCUGUUAUGUCGGAUGUGAAAGCCCUUGGCUUAACUGAGGAAGUGCAUCCGAAACUGGCAGGCUAGAGUACUAAAGAGGGUCGCGGAAUUCCCGGUGUAGAGGUGAAAUUCGUAGAUAUCAAGAGGAACACCAGUGGCGAAGGCGGAGACCUGGGCCGAUACUGACGCUGAGGUGCGAAAGCGUGGGGAGCAAACAGG
rnacentral:rRNA from 1 species